rnacentral:lncRNA from 1 species
GUUUUUUAUUAUGUGCAAAAUUAUUGUUAUGUUAUUAUUAUGGUAUAUAUAUAACAAUAUAUAAUUUUAGAUUUUUUGUUCUAUAUAAUAUGAUAAAUAUAUGCAUACGCAAGCGUUAUGAUCAAAGUUAACUUUUUAUCUGUUUGAUGUGAAAUGUGUCCAACCAUUUGAUUUGGGUCUGCUGUAUAACAGUCACCUUGCUGUUUUGUACCAAAACAAAACAUGAGAAAAAGAAACUUAAUACAUAUAUCACAGAUGAGGCCAAAGUUAUAUAACUCAGGAUCUAUGUGCAUCCUUUUUCUUUUCUUUUCUUUUUACUAGGGUCGGGCGGGAUAUACUUUAUUUAUGAUCUAUGUUAUUAUUUUUUACAUAAUUUUGUAGUUUGUGUUUUAGGUUCAGAUUUGCAAAAGGUACGUAUGAGAUAUACUAUUUUAUUAAUUUAAGUUAUUGGUUAGUUAAUUUGUAAAUAUUUUUUUGACUUUUUGCUUCUAUGAUAUUACCAUGAUUGAGUUAUUAUAUCAUUCUCAGUUGAAUUUUUUUUAUUAAAGUAUUUAAAAAAUCACAUUUAGUUAAUGUCAGUGAUUUAUUAUAUAUUAACAUCUAAAUAAUUUAUUUGUUAUAUCUCAAUUUUAGUGUUUGACCCUUUUAAAGUAGGAAGCUUGAGUCCGUGAACUGAUCCUUAUAUUUUGUCUUUUAAAUGUUGUUUGGGUUAAUAUGAACAUUCUUUUUGGUUUUCGUAUGUGGCCCAGCAAAAUUAAUAGUAAAUUUUUAGUGGUAGUAUGAUAGGUAGACGAUUUUGAACUUUUUUGGAAUGUUUUUAGUACCGUAAGUAUUAAUUCGGAGGUUAAAUUAACAUUAAUUGUGAACUCACUUAUUUAUAGGUGUAAAUCCACAACAAUUUGAGAUAGGAGAUGUAUGGAAUGAGACGUUUUGGAUGAGUGAGUCGGUGAUAUUAAUGAAAACAUUAAUUGUAUUUAAUAAAUCUAACAGAGAACAGUAACGCCGCAGUUUUUUCUCAGCGGGAGGAAGAAGAAACAUGUCAUAACCUAAGUCAAAUAAUGCUUUUCGUACAUACCAAUUUAAAAAAUAAUAGUCUUGUUGUAUGACCCAUCAUAAGUCAAACUUCUUGGUUUUUUAGCAAGCCUAAAUUAAACUUAUCCCAUUAAUUGAAACACAGCACUUUGGAGUUGACGGACACGUGUCGAGACCAGAACAAUCGACUUAAUGACGAGGCGCUGAGGUGUCUUCACAGGAGAGAGACCAACAUUUUUUUAUAUAUAUAAAUGUGUCGUCACAACCUAUAUCUAAGAGCAUUAUUAUCGGGGAGUUUUUAGGGUAGGAUUUUUAACGAAAUAUAAGAACCCGUCUCUUAACUUUUAACUACAAAAGUUAAGAACCGGCUUUUAAAACUCUUAUUUAAGAACCGGUUCUUAGCUUUUAAGUUAAAAGUUAAGAGACGAGUUAUUAUAUUCUGCUAAGAACUUCAUUCUAAAAACUCUCCAAUAAUCAUGCUCUAAGCUACCAUAUAUGUAAUAAUGGAUAUAAAUAAAUAACACUUUUCGAGCUUCUAUUUUCUUUUUUUGCGACUACUUUUGAAUGGAAAAUGUUGAUUAUUAAUUUUAUAAAAUAAUUAUUUCAUUUUGUUUCUUCCUUUGAGAAAAAGAAAGUGGGCCAAAGGGUAAAAGAUCUAAGUCUAAUUUCUGUAUAUGAUCCUCCUUCUGUAUGUUUUAGUUGGCUGCCUACGUUGUUCACCUAAGAAAUGGGGCGGCUCGACGGAUUAAAGGCCACACUUACUUAUAACAAUCAGACCGGUAAAGCCCAUAAAUGUAAUCUGUAAUCUAUAUCAUCGGAAUGCAUAAGUGAAACAAUGUACAGUACUGUUUUGAUUGAUAUCUUAUUUAGUUAUUUUUAAUAAAAAAAAAUGGCGGAGACAGAAAAUAAAUAGAUAAACUAAAUUAAACCGACUAAAAAAAAUAUAGACGUCGUUGAUCAAUGACCAAGCUUUUUGUAUAAAUCACUAUUCCCAUUUGCUAAAAUAGAACACAAUAUUUGUGUCGGCUUUUAAAAGUUUAUUUUAUAUCCCUUAUUUAUUAAUAGAGAAACAUUUAUAUAGAAUAACUUUUAAUUUAUAACUUAUUUACUUUUAUGUCAUUUUGCUGAGGUAUCAGUUUCAGAAUGCUCUUCACUCUAAAUAAUUAAUUGUCACUCUAAAUAUUUAAUUGUCUUCUCUUUACUAGAGUAAUUACAAAUAAAUGCCACUGCUAUUCGACUAACACAUUGUCAUAAUAAUAGUAUAUAGUUUUAUAAACAUCCUUUUGCCGUAUCAAUUUGAAAGAGUUCCACUUACGAAAUCAUAUUUAAUCUUUGUAAUGGAUUCACUGACGUGUUCAUUGUCUCCUAUAAAUUUUUUUUCUCUCCAAACAGAUACAUCAAAUAUUAGAAAAUGUCAUAUUGAAAUCAAAGAGAACAUUAAACAAUCUUUUUGGAACACCUAAACUGAGUAGAUCAUUAUACUCGAACAUACUAUAUCAUCAUUAACCACCAUUGCAUAUUUUUCAUUUAAAUUAUAGCAUGUACUAGCACAGCACAUAUAUUAUUAUGUAUUCACACUUAAAAUCAAGACAACACAAUAUUAACAGUUUUACGGGAUUUUGCAUCAGUUUCUAACCCCUCUGUUAACCCAUAUAUAACACUAUUUCUUACGACACUAACAGAAAACAUUCCCAGCCACUCAUGAGACUUAAGCAACCUAGAAAAAGAUUUUCACGAACCACCAGUGUAUAUAUUUUUAUUGUUAAGUAAAAACACCAGUGUAAAUAUUUUCUUUAAAUUCCUUAACCAAAAAAAAAAACAUUUUCUUUAAAUGAUUUGUGCAAGUUUAGCAAGAUCAGCAAUUUUUUUUAAUUUAUAGUCAGAUGAUCACCUAUUGAAACCGAAAAAGAACAUUAAAAAGUAUUUUUAGAACACCUAAACUGAGUAGCUCAUUAUAUUCAAGCAUAUUAUAUCCUCAUUAACCACCAUUAUGUGUAUCAUUUUUUAUGAUUGCAGGUAUCAGCAAAGCACUAUCUUAUCUAUGGAUUCAACAUGUCUCCACCCAUCCACUCAUCAUCAUUCAACAUGGUUCCAUUCAUCAUGAAACAUAUGGUUUUUGUUCGUUUUUAUUAUAUUCCAACAACUAUAUAUACAAUACGUAUUUUCCAUAAUAUAAAUAUCUUGCAUAGUAUAGUAGUGAUUUUACAGUUUUAUUUAUUAUAUUCAAACAACGAUAUAUACUAUGAAAAGCGUGGUUUAUGGUAUAUAUUGUACGUAUAUGGUUUAUGGUUUACGGUAUAUCUUGCAUAAUUAGGGGUGUUCAAUCCGGAUAUCGGUUCGGUUUCGGUUCAGUUUUUUCGGUGUUUUGGUUUAUAAAAAAUAUCUACCAUAUUAAAACCAUAUUUAAUAUAGUUUGGUUCGGUUUAUAUACAGUCGAUUUUCGGUUUAUUCGGUUCUAUACCAAAAAACCAUAAAUAUAUUUAUCUUUUAAAAUAUUUUGUGAAUUUUACUUUAUAAGAUUAGAUAUCGGCUUUAAAUUUAAUUAUAACAUGACGAUAUUUUGGUUUUAAAAUAAUCUAUUUUUUAUUUUACUAUUUAAAUAAUCAGUAAACAUAUUUAGUUAAUAAUAGUAAUAGUUUUAUGGAAUAAAAGUAAGAAAUAUCAGUAAUCCAUAAUACUAUUAAACAAAAAAGUAAAAGAAUCCCAUUAAUCAUAUCAGAAUUUUGUAUUUUGUAAUCAAUAAUUUUUUUAUAGGAAAAUACAAAAUGAGUAAGAAGUUUUAUUGGAUAUAUAUUCAAAAUAACAAUAUAUAUCUAUUUUAAGUUAAACUAUUUGUAUAUAUUAAUUUAAAAAUUUUGGAAACAUAUAUUAUAUUUAAAAUUGAUAUAAAUUAAAUACUUUUCAAGUUUAAAUUUAAUCAAAUCAUUGAAAUAUAUUAUAUAUAUAUAUAUAUUUAGUUAUUAUAGAAAAAUUUAAUUUUUUUUAUAAAAAAAAAUUAAUUUAACAAAUAUUUUACAAAAUAUUCCAAUCUGCGAAUAUAAAAAUUAUUACAAAGCGCUAAUAUUUUAAGAACCGUCUAACCAUGUGCAAAGCGCAUGUCUUACCUAGUAUAUAUAUAUAUUAACCAAAGUAUCUCAGAUUUAUGGAAUGACUAAAAUAAUAUCUAAAAAUAAUUAUAUUUGAAGAAAAAAAUAUCUCCGAAUAUUUAAAUGAGAUUACAAAAAUAUUACAUAUCUGUAUGACCACACAUGUUUAGUACCGUGGGACUAACCGUAAAAUACCCAAAAUCCACCUAAUCGUAAAAUAUCCAUGUGCAACAAAAGGUUUAUUAUUUUAUCCAAUUUAUUUAUUAAUUAAUUAAAAUAAUUUUUAAAAGUCUUAUUUUUUUAGAGAGAGGUCAUAAAUCGUACUUUCUUCAAAAUAUAAUAGAACACAAAGACAAAUAUGAAACCGAAUGCAUGAUCAAUACAAACAGAAUCACUAUAAUCAGUAGACAGAAGAAUCACGUAUUUUUUAAUCUUUUCAAUUAAUGAACAUAAUAAACUUCAUCGGAUCUUCAAAUUCUUCAUUCGCCUGUCAAAAAUCAACACAGUGCAUAAAUAAGAGCAUGUGUAAAUUAAUUAUCGGUCGAAACAUGUUGAUUAGAUUCCAGUCACAUAGUAUUAGUUAGAAACUUGAAGAUAUCGCUAAUUAAAGGUUUCCCAAACUCGUGUUCGUUUAAUUAACAGCUUCUGUUAUAAUAAACACUAUGUCGACAACCAUGCCUACCCUUUUUCAAAAAAAAAAAAAAAACACUAUGUCGACAACCGACCAUGAACAGAAGUAGACAUAACCAAUAUAUCUAUUUUCUUAUCAUGAUAUUAUGUUUUUUUUUUGCUUUAAUUAUCAUGAUAUUAUGAUAUACCCUUCAAACAUAUUAAAGACAAUUUGCAUGUGAUUAAGUACAACAAGGGAUUAAAUUUCAUGUGAACAUAGUCCUUAUGUUUGUUAAUUAGUGUGUUGUAUUAAUAUAUAUAUUGUAUAUACCCUUAAUUUUUCUAAAUGCAAAAAGUUACGCAUUUAAAUAAAAAUUAUGCUAUUUGAAUUUUCUUAUAUAUGAAAAAAUUUCUUAUAAAUUACAAGUGCAACUAAUAUUCUUUUUGGUUUACGUUUAUACUUAUGAACAAAAUCAUGUUUGAUAAAAAGAAACUAUAGUGUUUUUUUUUUUUUUUUUUUUUUUUUUUUUUUUUUUUUUUUUUUUUUUUUUUUUUUUUUUUUUGUGUUGUGUGUAAAAGUAUAUAUAUUACAAGGUUUGGCUAGCUAUAUACCUCGUGUCGAAGUCAUUGAUGCCUCUUGAGUUAGAAUCGAAGGUCUUGUAAUUGGGCAAAGGGACACGACCAGUUUCGAUGUUGAUGAGAUCUUCGACGAGAAUGUCAUAGUGACGCUUCGCUUCGUCUGCAGAUUUCCCUCCGACAGCGUUUGCAACAUUGUGCCAUCGGUCCGGUGUGUCCUUAUCGUAAACCGCCAAGGUUCUCUCGAACAUCUUGUUCUGCUUGAGCGUCCAUGACGAGCUCGAGCUUCUAGAGUUUGACGCCAUUAAUUUUUUUUUUUUUUUUUUGAGAAAGACGCCAUUAACGUUAUUAUGAGAUAGUGAGAAAAGGGAGUGAUUAGUGAUGAAAGUUGCUAUAAAAUGAAUACUAAGGGAGGGUUCCUUAUAAGGAGGAGAAAAGAGAGUUCCUAGAUUCUGCAAGUUUGAGAGAUUUUCGUUUUAUUUUUUUAUAUAAUUAAAUUAUUUUCAUGUUUAAUUUACUAAAUAUAUAUUACAGACAUUUUGUGACACAUUAACGUCCAUAUAUAUGGUCUAGAAAAAGUCAACUGUAACAUUGGUGUAAAGUUAAGUUUUAAAAAAAAAAUUGGUGUAAUGUUUUAGGAUAAUGUUACAUAUAAGCUUUGCAGAUUUAAGCAAAAAUAUUGAACCGAGAUCAUAUCGAUCUACAACCAGUUUAAAACGUAGGGUUGAAGUUGGUAAGUUGAACAACUUGGCCUAACGUGCUAUUAUAGACAGAAGAUUAUCACAUGCUAUAUUAAUAUAACUACCACUACUUGGUUUCUCAUAUAGGAGAUGACCUUAUAUUCUGCAAAGGUUAGUUGUAUGUUCAAAAAUGAUUAUAACUAAAUGACAUUGUCAUUAUUUGAGAAACGUUUCUGCCUUCUUUUUUUUGGUAAUCGAAAAAGUGGUUUCAUCCUUUUGCUAUGAUCCCAAUCAUUUGGAAUAAUCUCAACUAGUGCGAAUGAAAUCCAAGUGACGGUAGUUCUGGUCAGAAUCCUUUUACCACUUGAACCAACUCGUCCUGGUGUUUCUGGUUAAUUUUACGGGAGAGAAAAUGAACGAGCUGGCACAAAUUACAUAUAUUUACCAUUAUAUAGUUAUCCAAAGCAUAUUACAAGAUAUCACUAUAUCAAGAUGUUUGAUAUGAUAGGUUAAAGUUCUAUUCUCAGCAACAACUAAUAAUGAAAUAAAUCCAAAAAUGUUUAACGGAUUCGAUAUGUCAUCAUCAUCUACUUAACCAAAGUUCGUGGAUAUUUAUCAUUUCCAAAAAUCAUUUAAGUUUUACCGACUUUUUAUGACACUAGUUAAUUUUAUUAUUACGGAUUAUGAAAAAUAUUACAUAGAUAAUUUCACAGUCAACAAUUUUACAUGAUUAUAAAAAAACUUGUCUGCUAGUACUACCUUGACGUUAUUCUUUGCAAUUUCCUGAAGAUUUUCUAUAAAUUUUCAGUUAUUUGACAUGUUUCGUCCUUUUUAAUUUUAAACUAAUAUAUUCAAAUAUAUAAGCAUUAAUAAACUAUUAAUCAAAUUACCAGAAUAACUGGAUUAACAUGUUUCAUUUUCACCAAUUAAUUCAGAAUGAGAUGAAAUUAUUCUCCAGGACCUUGAAUCUAAUGACUUUAUGUGUGAUGUAAUGCAAGAUACCCAUUUGAAUGACAAGCAUUUUUACUUGAACCACCAAAAAUUUAAUGCAAAAGAUGAAGAAUAAGGACACAAGUGAUCGAGGAGGAAAAAAUAAGAAUAAGGACAUAAAGGAUUAUUAUUUCCUUUUGUGAUAAAAUUCCUACAUCCAAAUCUUAUCUAUCUUUGUUUUUAAUACUCCAUGUCUAAUGAAAAUGACAAUCAAGUUGUCCAAUUCCAUUGCUAGUUCAUUUGGUUUAUUGGGUUCAAACGUUUUUUUUAAGAGAAUAUUGGUAAUCCAUAGAUUAUACUCAGACUCACAAUUUAAAAAAAAAACUAUAUUAUAAAUGAUUGGUUGUGGUGUAAUUGUAGAAAUUUUGUUGUAGAAUUUAGUAUGUAGAAUUUUUGGAUGCAGCUUUAUUUGAUAUAUUUGUAAAACUAAAUGAUGAAAAAAAAAUUCUUACAUCAUCUUUUCUGCGGUUUGCUAAAUAAAAUUUUAGAAAAUAAAGUUGCUCCGGCCAUUUCUUCAUUUUCUUUUUGUAAUUUUUAAAGUAAAUAAAACUUCAUUCGUGACUUUUUGUAGAUUCAUGAUGAUUUGCAGAUUCUGGAAGCAGAGAGUGGAUGGAAACCAAUUCCUCUCACUGAUCUUGUGUUCAGUGCUUCUGUUAGAAAAGCUUACCGAAGGCAACUCUCUACGUUCAUCCUGACAAGCUUCAACAACGUGGAGCAUCCGCACAACAGAAGUACAUUUGCAAACAUAAGUUACAAGUACAGUAUCAAGCUAAGAUAUGGGAUAGAGACAGAUCUAGAGACGUCCUAUAAAUAUUUCAAUCCACGAGUUCACAUAUAUUAAAAUAAGCUCAUUCUUAUUCCCAGCAAAACCAUCCACAAUAUUUAUUCAUCAAGGUUCUCAAACUAAAGUACACAAAGCCAAUGAACGGUACACCAGCAAACGAGUGAGAGAGCUAAGACAACGAAAGUGGUUUAAAAGCCGAGCAAAUGAAGCAUAAUCGCAUUUUGGGCAUGCAUGCGAUUCUCCGCCUGUGGGAAGACGAUGGAAUAAGGAGCUUCCACGACUCCAUUGGUCACCUCCACUCCUCUUUCUGCAGGCAAACAAUGCAUGAAAUAGGCUUUUGGACCCGCCAACUUCAUCAGAGCUUCAUCCACCUGCAAGUUUUAACAUAGUAAGUAAGAUAUCUAAAUCAGAGACGUAUUCAUAUACUGUGUAUUAUAGAAGAAAUAUGUUAGACCUGGAAUCCUUGGAAUGCUUUACGGCGGUACUCAGCUUCAUCCUUUUGCCCCAUACUAGCCCAUACGUCUGAGUAGACAACAUCAGCUCCUAUGACAGCUUCUUUAGGAUCAUUGGUAAUCUCUAUCUUACUUAAUCCAGCUUGCUGUGCCUUUAGAACCAUCUCUUUGUCUGGUUCAAACCCUUUUGGGCAAGCGCAGACAAAAUGGAAAGGAAUAACGGAUGCCAAUUCUAACCAUGAGUGAACCAUAUUGUUCCCGUCUCCAACAUAGACAACCUGAAGUUUAUUGAAUCAGUCUAAGUGUCUAAUUAAAAGAUAACUUUUAUGUAUGAUUUCACAUGCAACAUGUACAAGUCUAGCUAUGAUUUAUGAUUUUGAAAUAAAUAUUGUUUUGAAGUCAAAUAUUAUAUGCAUAGUUUUGAUUCUGAAAGGGUUAACUAACCUUUGUCCCUUCGACUUGACCAAUGUGCUCAAUCAUUGUGAGUGCGUCGGCCAUGAUUUGGCAAGGGUGGUUAUGAUCUGUCAGACCGUUGACAACUGGUACACUCGAGUAGUUAGCCAAAUCAAGAAUGUCCUGCAAUCAAGAUUUGAUUCAUUGAGCUUUUAAAACACCAAUACCACACACAUGAGAAAGCACUUCUAGUGUUCCACCUAGUAUGUCUUUUCUAAACCAACCAAAGACUCACCGGCAUACCUGAUGAGCAAAAACACGGGCCAUAAUGAUGUCAUUAUAGCGCGACAGAACACGAGCAACGUCGCGAGUCUCCUCUCGCUUGCCCAUCUGGAUAUCAUUGGGUCCCAGAUACAGUGCAUGUCCACCAAGCAAGAAAAAGCCAGUCUCAAAGGAAACACGAGUCCUCAUGGAGGGCUUCGCAAAGAUCAUAGACAUAGACUUCCCUUUAAAAGGCAGAUAGUCUCUCUCCCCUGACUUCAACAGGGCUUUGACCUCUGAAGCCUUGUCUAGAAUCUUCUUGAUGGUCUCUGUGUCGAAAUCAUCUAUGGCCAGAAAGUCUUUCAGGUCAGAUUUCCCUGCAGAACACAAAGAGAUUCUAGUUCAUGAUUCUUUUACAGACACAUUUGCAUUUUUUUUAACCAGAUUAUGUUUCUGUAAUAAAAGAAAAACAUGCUUUGGAAGAUUAAUCUCAAUCAAUUAACGAACUUUCUCAUUUGGGUAAUGCAAGAAACAGAAUCUGGUAACGAAAGAUCCAACCUUUCACAUCGGACGUAGAAGGCGAAGUGACGGAUGAGGCUUGGCAGGAGACACGGAGGCUGAGGGGGGAGAAGGUCGCCGGAGAUGCGAGUGAAACGGCGGAGAAUCGCCUCAGAGUGGUGCCGGGGAAGAANNNNNNNNNNNNAGAGCCGGUGAUCGGGUGGAAGAGACGUGAGAAGCCAUAGCCGCCACCAUUGUCGUAAUUGAGUUGUUGAUGACUCUUCUUCAGUGACACUCUGCUUUACCUUAUUGCGGCAGAGGAGACACUUGUUACUGGACCUCCAUAAGGCCCAUACUCAUUUGUUGGGCUUUAGGCCGAUAUUUGUUUCUACUUCCAAAAAAAAUUGUUUUUGCCCUCUUUUUGAGAAUCAUCAAUGAAAAUUAUACUCUUCAACCAUUUCGUAUUUUUCAGAACCAAACCCCUGGGUGGGCAAAAAAACCUAACAAAAAUUUAUUUCAAACCUUUCGGUUGAAGAUUUCCCCAACCUCAAUUGUUUGGUUCGGUUCAGUUUUAAACCAAACUGAGAAACCGACGUGAUUUUGUAAUUAUUUAAAUUAAAAAUAUUAGCAAUACCAAUAUACUAAAAUUAUAAGAUUAAACUACAUAUUUUCCAUUUUUUAUUCAUUAACAUAUAUUAUUCUAACCUAAUAUGUAAUCAUCAAAAUAUUUGAUUUAAAAUAUUUCAUUCAUUGCAGGCUUUUUAAUUUUAAUAAUAUAAGAAACAUUACUAAUGAUGUUAUUUUUUUUACUUUAGUUAACUUUCAUUUGUUUUAAUUCUUAUAUAUUUUGUGACUUUUUAAGGGUUUUUUGUUUCAGUUUUAUAUUGAAUUUAGUUUACGUAGUUUAUGUUUACAUAAUUUACUUUGUAAAACAUAAUUUCUCUUAGAAAAAUUAAACUAAGAAUAAUCUAAUUAAACCGAUCCAAAAAACAAACCGAACCGUAUACAAACUGAACCGAACCGAAUACAAACUGAACCGAAUAUAGACCAAACCGAACACAAACUAAUUAUGGUUUAGUUCAAUUAGAAAAAUACUAGAACCGAACAGUGCCCACCCCUAACCAAGUCGAAUGUUAUUAUUAUUCACAUGAUAUAAUGGGAUUUUGAUUUAUUUCUUUCUCUUAACUUGCAAAAUUUAAUAAAAUAGAGAAUAAAAGUUUAACUAGGAUAUUGUAGGGCUUUACCCCGAAGGGAACCCUUCCAGAAAUUCUCGAAGGCCCAAGACAAGCUUAGGCCCAGGAGAGGGUUUGGAAAUAGUUUUCAACCAGCAAUAGACGAGAGCCGGUGAUCGGGUGGAAGAGACGUGAGAAGCCAUAGCCGCCACCAUUGUCGUAAUUGAGUUGUUGAUGACUCUUCUUCAGUGACACUCUGCUUUACCUUAUUGCGGCAGAGGAGACACUUGUUACUGGACCUCCAUAAGGCCCAUACUCAUUUGUUGGGCUUUAGGCCGAUAUUUGUUUCUACUUCCAAAAAAAAUUGUUUUUGCCCUCUUUUUGAGAAUCAUCAAUGAAAAUUAUACUCUUCAACCAUUUCGUAUUUUUCAGAACCAAACCCCUGGGUGGGCAAAAAAACCUAACAAAAAUUUAUUUCAAACCUUUCGGUUGAAGAUUUCCCCAACCUCAAUUGUUUGGUUCGGUUCAGUUUUAAACCAAACUGAGAAACCGACGUGAUUUUGUAAUUAUUUAAAUUAAAAAUAUUAGCAAUACCAAUAUACUAAAAUUAUAAGAUUAAACUACAUAUUUUCCAUUUUUUAUUCAUUAACAUAUAUUAUUCUAACCUAAUAUGUAAUCAUCAAAAUAUUUGAUUUAAAAUAUUUCAUUCAUUGCAGGCUUUUUAAUUUUAAUAAUAUAAGAAACAUUACUAAUGAUGUUAUUUUUUUUACUUUAGUUAACUUUCAUUUGUUUUAAUUCUUAUAUAUUUUGUGACUUUUUAAGGGUUUUUUGUUUCAGUUUUAUAUUGAAUUUAGUUUACGUAGUUUAUGUUUACAUAAUUUACUUUGUAAAACAUAAUUUCUCUUAGAAAAAUUAAACUAAGAAUAAUCUAAUUAAACCGAUCCAAAAAACAAACCGAACCGUAUACAAACUGAACCGAACCGAAUACAAACUGAACCGAAUAUAGACCAAACCGAACACAAACUAAUUAUGGUUUAGUUCAAUUAGAAAAAUACUAGAACCGAACAGUGCCCACCCCUAACCAAGUCGAAUGUUAUUAUUAUUCACAUGAUAUAAUGGGAUUUUGAUUUAUUUCUUUCUCUUAACUUGCAAAAUUUAAUAAAAUAGAGAAUAAAAGUUUAACUAGGAUAUUGUAGGGCUUUACCCCGAAGGGAACCCUUCCAGAAAUUCUCGAAGGCCCAAGACAAGCUUAGGCCCAGGAGAGGGUUUGGAAAUAGUUUUCAACCAGCAAUAGACGCGCCUCGGUAAGUACCUCAUCAGCUGCGUCAUUGUCCCAAGCGCAAAGAUGCUUUUACAACUAGCACGCGAGACUUUAUUUAUUAUUAUUAUUAUUUUUUUUAACUCAACAUCAACUUAUCAUUCACCAAUAUGGAGGUACAUGAAUUUCACCACAGAGGGUUCAACCACACUUACAAACAAAGUAUACUAGUAUCACCCAGGAUCACUACAUUGGAUCCUACGCUACCAGACUUUAACUUUGAUGUAAUUCCACCCAAUGAGACCAAGCUCUCCCUAAGACCCAGAGAGAGUAGUCUCUUAGACCACCUACUUCGACCGCGAUAAACGAACACAUACAAACCGAGGAACAACUAAAACUUAUCUUGAUCACAAAUCUAAGCACUAGCAUUAGCCACCAAAACAUUGGACUUCAGGUUUCAGCACACGGACUAAUACUUCUUCACCUCACGGUGCAUAUCUUGACUAGCUUUGGGACCGCCGGUUUGGAUGCCCCGCUUCUAAGCCAUAAAAACGAGACUGACCCCGUACUGAAAGGCGGACAUUGACAGAUGCAUCAUGGCCAGAACGGCAUCCAUGGAUUCCAAAGGUGUGGGCUCAUACCACCGGAGGGACAUUACCACACCGGCGCUGGGAUGUAGGAGCACCACCGCGUACCAGGUCAAGGCGCACACCUCCGGUUGACAACUCCGAGGAUGAGUAUCCUUGCCACGCGCCAUAACCCGAGAACCGGAUGACAAGACCUUCUUCGCCGAACUCUAAACCGCUCCUCUGUUCGUGGCACCGCCAGUUAGGGAAGUAGAUCUACGAUGGAGGAGGUAUCCCACUGAACCACGCGCCGCUGCCGUGAAGAGAAUGCCAUAGAUCUGAAAACGGAAAACCAGAUCUGGCGGUUCCUUCUGCCCUAAAAGCCGACUCACCCCUUCACUGUCAUUUCUGGAGUCUUGCUGUUCCUCCAGAUGAACGCCAGAACCACCACCGUCGAACGCUAUGGAUCUCCGAUUAGGGUCCAACAAACCAGAGACAACAUGCAAAGAGACAGAGAGAUAACGAUAGAGGAGAAAACAAAGAAAAAAGGAGUGAAAAGGGUAGGAGGAGAGACUCCGGUGUCGGCUUCCGCCGAGCCGGAGCUAGGGUUUCAGAAGUUUUUGGUGAGAGGUUGGAGAGUUGGGUUUUUAGAGAGAGAGAGGCAUUUUUUUACCACGCGAGACUUUAUUUAUAGCGCCAGUUUUUGAGCUUCAGAAAAUUCACAACCGAUGUGGGAGAAAAUACAGGAAACACCUAAAUUAAAAACACGCAAUCAAGCUUUAUGCGUCUUGGGCCUCCGAAAUUGGACCUAUAAAAUUUCAUGUCCAAACAUAGUUUUUCGUAUUUUUGUUAACACGAUUUAAGGUCUUUUCGCAAGUGAAAUCGUUUUGUCUCUCUGUUAAUCUUCUGUGUUGAAUACUUGGUCAUCUACAGUGUUAUUUUGAUCUAUCGAUUCUCUCUUAUGCUUAACACCACAACAACACAAUUAGCUGUCUGAGCUUAAGAAUUGGUCAAGUUUCAUAUUCGUACGCAUUUUUAGAAUAUUAUUUUUUGUAAUUUGUAGUCAUAUUAUCCAUACAUAUAUAUUAAUUUAUAUAAGUUAGAAUUGCUCAUGAGCUGAGAGAAAAUGGUCUCUGAUAUGAAUAAAGAUAUACGAUGAAUAUCUACUGGACAUGGUCUUCCGGAACUCCCCCCAAAAGUAUCAAAAAAGUAUCAAAUAUUUUGCCUAUGAGACCUCAAUUUUGUAUAUAAAACAUUGUUCUACCAUAUGGUGUAUACAAACUUACCAACAUACUCACAAAGCAUAGCCACGGCCCACCACCUUCUCUCAUAAAAUAGUAAUCCAAGUUCUCUCGGUCUCUUCACCAACACAACUUCUUUCUCUGCUUAUUUUUCAACAAAUAAAAACACAUUUAGUAUAUUCCAUACAAAAUUCAAGUUUAUUGAGUGAGAAAAUUGAGAAGUGGUUAGUUACCCGAUGGUACUUCUCGUCUUCUUCACGGUCUAUGUAAGCCAAAAGAUCAUCCUGUCUCAUUAAAGCCUCAUGUAAAGCCUGAACCAUUAAAGACAGUAUCAAGUUACUACACAACAAAAACAUUUCCUUUUAUAUCCAAUCAGCCAGUAUAAAGAAACUAACAUGGAACUGAGAGAUUUUAGUUCUUACCUUUUUGGUAGCUAUGAGCUCUGCUUCAAGCGCAUCCACGCGAUAAACAGCUGUAUUAAGCAACUCUUCUUUCUCCCUAGGCAUCUCAUGUCGCUUUGAGUGCAGUGUCUCCACUUGUUUCUCAAGAUCUCCUAGUCUGUUCACAACAGAAGCCACGAGGUUUCUCUCUCUGACAGUUGAAUAAACCGGUGAAGGAGGACGAGACUCUCUAGCGAUUGGUUCAUCAACUGAAGAUUCUGACUGAGAAUGUUCUUUACUCUUUGGCAGAGCCACCGCAGAUACCAGAAACGUAAACAAUGUGGCUAGCCACCUCAAGAUAUGACUAACCGGUCCUAACUUUCCCAAACCGGGUGACUCCUUGGGGCCUGCACCAACAACAUUCCACUACAGUGAAACUUUGCAUUACAUAUCUUAGCAUUUGGUUUUAACUAUUUUACCUUGUGGAGUUUUUGGCUUCUCAUUAGCCAUCCAAGCAACAUCCACAACUUUGUCCACCAUUGGUGAGUCAUACUCUGAAGAGUCAGUAGGAUAUGAUCUACUAUUGGUCCUAAUCUGCAACUAAGGUCAGAUAUUAUUUAAACAAACAAAAAAAGGUCAGAUAUUCAAGUAAAGUGUUAUUUUGAACUGCAAACUGUAGUUUUAGGUACAAAAAAACUCUUACAUCUUCACAAACAGGAGUCAACUUUGGAACAUGACUCUCCUUGUUUGCUUUUGGAGAAGCCAUCUCUUCUAAUUCAGAGCUUGAUUCCGCUGUUGAGGUGUCACUAACUUUAAUCUGAGCCAAAGUGGACAAAUACUGUACGCUAAGAAAUUAUCAAAUACAUGUUUAAUUAGCAUCCAAGUAAAGACUAUUACCCCGGGAAAAGGUGGCUUAUCACAUGAGUUCAUCCGGGAACCACUGUUUAGAAUAGAUGCAUGUCUGCAGAGGGUUCCACCACUUUGAACCAUCUACAAGUGGGAGAUCAGUUAGAUACAUAGCUUACUCUAUUUUUGUGUUAAUCUGAGUAACCAAACACACAGAGUAAACAAUAAGUUGUGGAAGGUUGAUUUACAGUUAAUAUCUCUGGGUCUUUCCAGGGACCUUUAUCAGAUCUCAUACAGCCACCUUCAUCAGCACAUGUGCAAGUGCCGCCAAGAAAAUCUGGCAGCUGACUGAACAAGUUCCAAAUAUGAAUAGGGAGUUAAACCAUGUUUUGGAGUCUUGAGAAGCAAACAAGAAGAAAGCUGAGGGCUGAGAAUUAUUUACCUUGCAUCAAUGAUCUCAAGUAACUUGUUCUGGUACUUGUUACCAACAACCUAUCAGAAGAACACAUGGACACCAGUUUAUGGCAUGAUACUAACAUAAUAUUUCAUAUAACGUGUGGAUAUGUAAUAAAUGUGUUAAAAGAAAGGUAGUUUUACAUGGAUCUUUGUUACUGUUUUUGGAUCAAGAAAUGAUUUCACUGAUCCCCAAAGUAGCUUAAAACCAGGACCAGCAUUGAUGAUGAACAUGCGUUGUAGUGUCUGCAUAUCACAUGGUUUAUAUUAUUAAUCACAACCAACCAACCACACACACACACAUUUUGUUAAGGAAACUAAUAGCAGCCAGCUCAAACCUCAGGGUAGUUAUCAUUAUCAAUCUUUUGCAGCUGGAUUAUGAGAUCCCUCGCAGGCUUCGAGAAGUUCUUUAAACCCUGCAAAACAUAAUUUUAAAAAUUGAAAAGUAAGCAAGGACAUUAGUAACACUAAACAAGGUAAAAAAAAAAGUAGUUUUUUUUUAAGUACCACGCCUUGAACGUCAAGAAUGGUGGUGCUAGAGUCAAUGUGUCUCUUAGCAGCAAUGCAGCAAGCAGGAAACUUGAUACUAACAGUCUUCUCAAACUCUCGAACAUGAUACCUUAUGUAUCUCUCUAAUGUGGUGGCUUGAAUGAGUUUUGCCGGAUCGACUUUCCCUAACCUCUCAAUGUAAACAGGUCUUCCUUCUUUGUCAACACCAUGAUAGCCUUGAGGGUAGUAUCUGAGAACCUCAUCCACCUCUUGAAACUCAAAAUCCUAGAACACAAAUACAUAAAUAAAUAAAUAACUCUCAUCAGACAAACACGCAAAUAACACUUAAUGUUAAAAUCAUUACCUCGACAAUAGUGUCUGUACCAAACUCUUGUCUCCACUGAAUCAUGUUACUCCACAUCAGUUUGGUUUUCCCAACGUCAAACUUCCUCGCUUUCAGGAACCUGCAACAUGAUCUCAUCAUCAUCUAGGAGUGUUAACUUGUAUCCGAUCUGAGCUAAAAAUAACUUGUAUCCGAUCCAAGCUAAGAAAAAUAUCUGAAUGAAUAUCCGAACUCGAAGUGUUGUUAAUUAAACCCAAAAAAGUCCGAGAAUCCUAACCUAAAAAUCCGAAUAAGCAGUCAAAAUAAGUAUCUAAAAUGUAUGUUUAUAUGAUAUCGGAAAUGUUCGAACCCAAAAUGAAUUCAAAUAAAAAAAUGAGUUUUAGAUAGAAAUAAUUUUUUUUUUACCAAACAGGAAAAUAUUGUUAUCCGAACCCCGACCAAAACAUAUAUAAAACCUGAACGAGGUCUGAGAGGCUAAACUCGGAAAACAUGAUUGGAACAGAUACCCGAACACACUCAUGCCUAUACAAUGAAAAUCUAGAGAGAGAGAGAGAUGACCUCAACAUGAUGUGAUAAUCAUCAAGCUUUGGAGGAAGUAGAUUCUCAGAGAGGAGUAGACUCCUUAACUCAUCAACAGCUCGCAGUUCCUCAACGUCGUGAAUGUCUUCAAUGGUAAGAGAGAAGUUCCGAUCAGUGCUUCUCCUCCUACCGCUGCUUCCUUUCUUCUUGAGAGAGUGUCUCAGUUUGCUUGAAGCUUUGGCUGCUUUCUUCUUAAAGGUGCCGAUUCUUGUUCUCUUCUCUUCCUCUGAAACUUCGAAGUCUGAUCUCCGUUCUCUUCUCUCAUCAUUGCUUGAACACCCUUCGAAACCUGAACAAUCAACUCACAAACUCAAUUCACAAUUCGAAUUCUGUAAAAUUCAAAACCGCGAUCAUCGGUGGGGAUAACGAUGAGAUAUUUCUUACAAGGUCUGGCGAAAUCGAGAGGGCCUGACAUGAGGAGACACGAAUCCCGAGAACUUGGGAUUGCGGCAGCCGAGAGAGAGAGAGAGAGAGAAGCGAUCGGAGAGAAAUUGAAAGAGACGUAAGAGGGAGAAGAAGUAAAGUGUUCGGUUUUAAUAUGAUUAAAUGUGUGUGUUUAGUGCAUCCACGCGAUAAACAGCUGUAUUAAGCAACUCUUCUUUCUCCCUAGGCAUCUCAUGUCGCUUUGAGUGCAGUGUCUCCACUUGUUUCUCAAGAUCUCCUAGUCUGUUCACAACAGAAGCCACGAGGUUUCUCUCUCUGACAGUUGAAUAAACCGGUGAAGGAGGACGAGACUCUCUAGCGAUUGGUUCAUCAACUGAAGAUUCUGACUGAGAAUGUUCUUUACUCUUUGGCAGAGCCACCGCAGAUACCAGAAACGUAAACAAUGUGGCU